UACGUAGGGGGCAAGCGUUGUCCGGAUUUAUUGGGCGGAAAGCGCACGCAGGCGGUCCGCCAAGUCCGAAGUGACAGUCAUUGGCUUAACCAAUGAAGGCCUUCGGAAACUGGCAGACUUGAGAGCAAUAGAGGGACACGGAAUUCCGGGUGGAGUGGUGAAAUGCGUAGAUAUCCGGAGGAACACCAAAGGCGAAGGCAGUGUCCUGGAUUGUUUCUGACGCUCAGGUGCGAAAGCUAGGGGAGCGAACGGG
rnacentral:rRNA from 1 species